rnacentral:rRNA from 1 species
AUUGAACGCUGGCGGCAUGCCUUACACAUGCAAGUCGAACGGUAACGGGCCUUCGGGUGCCGACGAGUGGCGAACGGGUGAGUAAUGCAUCGGAACGUACCUUUCAGUGGGGGAUAACGUAGCGAAAGUUACGCUAAUACCGCAUAUUCUGUGAGCAGGAAAGCAGGGGAUCGCAAGACCUUGCGCUGAUUGAGCGGCCGAUGUCAGAUUAGCUAGUUGGUGAGGUAAAAGGCUCACCAAGGCGACGAUCUGUAGCGGGUCUGAGAGGAUGAUCCGCCACACUGGAACUGAGACACGGUCCAGACUCCUACGGGAGGCAGCAGUGGGGAAUUUUGGACAAUGGGGGCAACCCUGAUCCAGCCAUGCCGCGUGAGUGAAGAAGGCCUUCGGGUUGGUUAAAGGACUCUUUCGGUCCGGGAGGAAAGUACGCAUGGGUUAA